AGUCUAUUCAGAGGAACCUGUCCUGUAAUUGAUAAUCCACGAUGUACCUCACUUAAAUUUGUUUUCCAGUUUAUAUACCGUCGUUAUCAGAAUAUUUUAUUAGAAUAAUAAUUUUCUAUAAUUUUUAUAAGAAUUUAUAUCAGAUCAAGGUGUAGCUUAUGUUUAAGUAGAGAUGGGUUACAAUAAAUUUAUUUAAACGGAUCUAAUUUUGAAAUGUUUAGUGAAGGUGGAUUUGAUAGUAAAAUUUUAAAGAUUGUUAAUUUGAUUUUAGCUCUAGAAUAUGCACACAUCGCCCGUCGCUCUUGCUAUUAAGGUAAGAUAAGUCGUAACAUAGUAGAUGUACCGGAAGGUGUAUCUAGAAUGA
rnacentral:rRNA from 1 species